CUUUUUGUUUGUUUUCAUACAUCCAGUUCAAAAGAGCAAGAGUUCUGAUGUACAAGUAGGCAAACAGUAAAAAGGCAUUUCCACAGUCAAUUCAGAAACCCUUUCCAGAUUCAGUGGGACAUAUUCUGGCAGAAUUUGCCUUCAAGGAUAAAUCUUCAAGUUUUACUCAUAGUGCAGUGUUGCUUUCCGUACAUCCCGUGCCCCCGCAAGACGCCUACUACAACAGUCCAGGAAUACUCUGGCAUACGUCCUGUUGACUGGCCUGUGCUUCUUUCUGAAGAUAGAUCUUUGGUAUGAAAACAGAUGCCUGGUUUUCUUCUUUUACAGGAUGCUUUAGAUGGGACACGGUGUGAAGAACAUUAUGCAAUGCACACUGAUAUAUCACCCUGACCCUAAAACGUAGAGUGCAUCAGACAAUAUUCC
ensembl:lncRNA